rnacentral:lncRNA from 1 species
UCCAGACUGCAACAUCUACAAUUGUGAGGCUAUAACCAGCGAGAAAGGUAUUCAAUAGUAGAUACUCAUCCACAAAGCGGCAUGCUCGAUGAAUGGCUUCUCGAGUCCAAUAAAUUCUGCAUUCUAAUUGAAAUCUGAAUUCACAGCGUGAAGCUCCAUGAAUUGUUGAUAACAAAGAGAAACAAUCAUAAAUUAAAUGAGGAAUUGGAAAAAAUAGGGUUUACGAGCUGACGCGCGCGAAGAGCAGAUAGGGAUUUGCGAGCUAAAAUGGGGUUUAUCGCGGCGCCUAGGGUUAAAAGGGGCGGCGAGAAGACGGCCGGCGUGGCAACGGCGAGUCGACACGGUCGGUGGCAGGCGACGCGGGUUCGAGAUGGAGAGAUAUCUCCGCAGCUGCUGCUACGGGUAAACAAACAGAGGACGACGAGAUGGGGGGCGCAGUGAGUGCCGGGCGGCGCUGGUCGUGGCGGCGAGUCGCGACGGCGGUGGCAGGGCACGGCGAUGGUGAAGAGAGAAAGAGGCCAGGUCCGAUUUGGGGGAAAUUUUGAGGUGUUAGCGUGAAAAUUGAGCGGGAGCAACGAAUAGGGAUUUUAGGGGUUGAAGAAAUGAAGUCAAAUCUUUUUCUUCUUUUUUUCUUUUUUUUCUUUUGUUUCACUUUAAUUAUAAUUUUUGGUAUUUAGGUUUCUAAUAAUGUAUUUAGAUUUUAUUAUUUUUCAAAGUCUAUAACUAGAAAUAAAUUCAGAUUUUAGGAUAA